rnacentral:misc_RNA from 1 species
AUCCUCCCAAAAACAAAACAAUAAGUUUCCCAAAAAAUAUAAAUUCAAUUCAUGUUCAACAUCAUUGACAUCUUGCUCAUUGGCUUGGCAUUCAUCAUUGAACUAACCACCCUCCAACACCAUUUUAUUAUGUGGAGACAAAAUGUUUCCUCAAUACGUUCUAUAUAUAACCCUCACACACUAGUCAAUCAAUACUAUUAAGAAUUGUUUCUUUAUGUAUUUCUAUUCUUUCAAAAAUAAAGCAAUAUAGACAGAGAUAGAGAAAUUUAAUUAAAAUUUCUCCACGUAGAGAAAACUCUCUACAUGCCUCUUCAAUUAUUUUGAUGGGAAAAAGUCCAAUUUUUUAAUGCAAAGAAUUGACUAUCAAGAAACUAGUUUCCUUUAAGUCUUCUCAAUUCAUAAAAUAGUCCAGCAGAAAUAAGUAAAUAAACAAGUGGCCAUCAGAUAGCACACCAGCAAAAUUAAUUUCAGUGGAUUAUAUAGAACAUUCUGUUAAGCACCGG